UGGGGAAUCUUGCACAAUGGAGGAAACUNUGAUGCAGCGAUGCCGCGUGAGUGAAGAAGGCCUUUGGGUUGUAAAGCUCUUUCGUCGGGGAAGAAAAUGACUGUACCCGAAUAAGAAGGUCCGGCUAACUUCGUGCCAGCAGCCGCGGUAAUACGAAGGGACCUAGCGUAGUUCGGAAUUACUGGGCUUAAAGAGUUCGUAGGUGGUUGAAAAAGUUGGUGGUGAAAUCCCAGAGCUUAACUCUGGAACUGCCAUCAAAACUUUUCAGCUAGAGUAUGAUAGAGGAAAGCAGAAUUUCUAGUGUAGAGGUGAAAUUCGUAGAUAUUAGAAAGAAUACCAAUUGCGAAGGCAGCUUUCUGGAUCAUUACUGACACUGAGGAACGAAAGCAUGGGUAGCGAAGAGGAUUAGAUACCCUCGUAGUCCAUGCCGUAAACGAUGUGUGUUAGACGUUGGAAAUUUAUUUUCAGUGUCGCAGCGAAAGCGAUAAACACACCGCCUG
rnacentral:rRNA from 1 species